UAGAGGUUGAUCAUUGCUUAGAUUUAACGCUGGCGGAAUGCUUUACACAUUCAAGUCGAACGGCAUCCCGGAGAGCCUUCUCUUUGGUGGCGAGUGGCGGACGGGUGAGUAAUAUAUCGGAACGUGUCCCAUAAUGGGGGAUUACGAGUGGAAAGAUUUGCUAAUACCGCAUACGCCCUACGGGGGAAAGCAGGGGAUUGUUAGGCCCUGCGUUUAAGGAGCCGCCGAUAUUUGAUUAGCUUGUUGGUGGGGUAAAGGUUCUCCCAGGGGACGAUCAGUAGCUGGUUUGAGAGAACGACCAGCCCCACUGGAACUGAGACCCGGUCCCGACUCCUACCGGAGGCAGCCGUCGGGAAUUUUGUUCAAUGGGGGCCACCCUUAUCCAGCCCUUUCCCGUGAGUGAAGAAGGCCUUCGGGUUGUAAAGCUCUUUCGCCAGGGAAGAAAACUUAUGAUAGAAUAAAUCAUGAGGUUGUCGGUAAAGGGAUAAGAAGCCCCGGCUUUCUUCGUGCCCGCAGCC
rnacentral:rRNA from 1 species